AUUGAACGCUGGUGGCAGGCUUAACACAUGCAAGUCGAGCGGAGUGAUGGUGCUUGCACUAUCACUUAGCGGCGGACGGGUGAGUAAUGCUUAGGAAUCUGCCUAUUGAUGCGGGACAACAUCUCGAAAGGGAUGCUAAUACCGCAUACGUCCUACGGGAGAAAGCAGGGGAUCACUUGUGACCUUGCGCUAAUAGAUGAGCCUAAGUCGGAUUAGCUAGUUGGUGGGGUAAAGGCCUACCAAGGCGACGAUCUGUAGCGGGUCUGAGAGGAUGAUCCGCCACACUGGGACUGAGACACGGCCCGGACUCCUACGGGAGGCAGCAGUGGGGAAUAUUGGACAAUGGGGGGAACCCUGAUCCAGCCAUGCCGCGUGUGUGAAGAAGGCCUUAUGGUUGUAAAGCACUUUAAGCGAGGAGGAGGCUACUGAGACUAAUACUCUUGGAUAGUGGACGUUACUCGCAGAAUAAGCACCGGCUAACUCUGUGCCAGCAGCCGCCGUAAUAC
rnacentral:rRNA from 1 species